rnacentral:rRNA from 1 species
GACGAACGCUGGCGGCGUGCUUAACACAUGCAAGUCGAGCGGAAAGGCCCUUCGGGGUACUCGAGCGGCGAACGGGUGAGUAACACGUGAGUAACCUGCCCUUCACUUUGGGAUAACCCUCGGAAACGGGGGCUAAUACCGGAUACGACACACCAGCGCAUGUUGUGUGUGUGGAAAGUUUUUCGGUGGGGGAUGGGCUCGCGGCCUAUCAGCUUGUUGGUGGGGUGAUGGCCUACCAAGGCGACGACGGGAGCCGGCCUGAGAGGGCGACCGGCCACACUGGGACUGAGACACGGCCCAGACUCCUACGGGAGGCAGCAGUGGGGAAUAUUGCGCAAUGGGCGGAAGCCUGACGCAGCGACGCCGCGUGA